rnacentral:tRNA from 1 species
GCGCCUGUAGUUUAGCUGGAUAGAAUGUAGCGCUACGAACGCUGAGAUCGGGGGUUCGAGUCCCUCCAGGCGCACCA